AGGGGUGUGGCAGUGGAAUUGAGGCAGACAGGGCAUGGCAGGGAAAGGUGGGCUUGGGGAGCGCUCAAGGAAAGGAUGGGAUUCCGGCAGUCAACUGCCACCCUGGCCAUGGGGCGCCACACUGUCCUGCUCCUGCUCCUGGCUUUCCUGACGCUUCGGGAGGUCAUCCCCGUACCGCUGGCCCUGAGGGCCCUCAGCAAUCUGCACAGGUCAGCCAGCUUCACAUCCCGCCCCGCUGUACCCACUAAGUACACGGUUCACUACCUCCAACAGAAGGUUGAUCAUUUUGGAUUUACCACAGAUAAAACUUUUAAACAGCGGUACUUACUAGCUGAUGAACACUGGAAGAAAGAUGAUGGAUCAAUACUUUUCUACACUGGUAAUGAAGGAGACAUUGUCUGGUUUUGCAAUAAUACGGGGUUCAUGUGGGAUGUGGCUGAGGAACUGAAAGCUAUGUUGGUGUUUGCUGAACAUCGAUACUAUGGAGAAUCCCUACCUUUUGGUAACAAUUCAUUCAAGGAUUCCAGAUACUUGAAUUAUCUGACAUCAGAACAAGCUCUGGCAGAUUUUGCAGUGUUAAUCAAAUACUUGAAAAGAACAAUCCCAGGAGCUAAAAAUCAACCUGUCAUUGCCCUAGGGGGCUCUUAUGGUGGCAUGCUUGCAGCCUGGUUCAGGAUGAAAUACCCUCAUAUGGUGGUUGGAGCUCUUGCAGCCUCUGCCCCCAUCUGGCAUUUUGGUAAUCUGGUACCUUGUGGUGUAUUUAUGAAGAUCGUAACUGAAGAUUUUAGGAAAAGUGGCCCAAAUUGUUCAGAGACCAUCCACGAUUCCUGGGGUGCUAUUACUCGACUCGCAAGAACAGGCAGUGGCUUGCAUUGGCUUUCUGAAGCCCUUCACUUAUGUACCCCAUUAAGAAAUUCGCAGGAUGUUCAGCAUUUGAAAGGCUGGAUCUCUGAAACCUGGAUAAAUCUGGCAAUGGUGGACUACCCUUACGAGUCUAACUUUUUACAGCCUUUGCCUGCUUGGCCUAUCAAGGUAGUGUGCAAGUAUUUGAACAAUCCCAGUUUAUCUGAUGCACAGCUGCUGCAGAAUAUUUUCCAAGCUCUGAAUAUAUAUUACAAUUACUCAGGCCAGGCGAGAUGCCUGAAUAUAUCAGAGACAACAACUAGCAAUCUGGGAACCCAGGGUUGGAGCUAUCAGGCUUGCACAGAAAUGGUCAUGCCUUUUUGUACUAAUGGUAUCGAUGACAUGUUUGAGCCUCGCUCAUGGAACUUUAGGGAAUAUUCUGAUGACUGUUUUAAACAGUGGGGUGUGAGACCAAGGCCCGCCUGGAUCACUACUGUGUAUGGAGGCAGAAACAUCAGUUCACACAGCAACAUUGUUUUUAGAGAGAGAGAGCAUGAAAGGAGGAGAGAGGCAGAGGGAGAGAAAAAGAGAGAAUCUCUGAAUGGAUCCCAAUGUGGGGCUCAGUCUCACAACCGUGAGAUCAAAAUCUGAGCCAAUAUCAAGAGAAGCUUAACUGAUGGAGCCACCCAGGUGCCCCCAGAAAUGUGCUUGAGGAGCAGAAAAGCCAAGAUUAUAGGGUAUCAAGAUGGGAUUGUGGCUGAGCUGGAAGAGAAAAGAACAUCACCAAUAGAAAAAAACUGAGAGUAAUAGGGCUUUAGGUGUUAAGCCCCUCUUUUGGGCAGAGGAAGCAUCCAAAUCCAAGAGCCCUAUGAACCUGGUGGUAAAGCAGAUCUGCUCUGCUUCUUUUUGCCCAAAGUACUACCAACAUGCAGGAAACAGGGACCAAAGAAACAUGUUAAAUGACACCAUGCAGAUUGGAUGCAACUAACCAAGUUUAGAAUGUGGGAAAGAUGACAAGGCAAAGACCAGUUUCUUCAAUAAACCAAUUGCAAAGAAAACAGAAAGUGGAGGCAAUAUAGAUUAACAGAGAUUUAAGAGACAUACCAAAACAAUUCUUUGCUAUUUCUUCCAUUGAGGGUUGGAUUCUAAUUUCCCUCCCCUUGAAUUUGAUCUGGCCUUAGUGACUUGCUCGAUCAACAGGAUGUAGUGAAAAUGACAUUCUGGGAAUUCUGGGGCUGGUUUGUAAGAAGCCUGGGAGGUGCCACAUGAGGCCACUUGCAGCACUGUCUCUGGGAUACCUGAGCCUAAGAAGUCUGAGUACUCUUAGACCAGUAUGUUGGAGAGGCCAGCAUUGUAGGCACAGGUGCAGUCAUGUGAAUGAUGCCAUCUUGGAUCCUCCACACCACCUAUAGUCGAUGUGGAGUGGACCAGAAGGAUGACUCAGCCAAGCAUCGCUCAAUUAGUAAUCCAUAAUACUGUGAGAUAUAAUAAAAUGUUUGUUUUUAGCUACUCAGUUUUGGAGUAGUUUGCUACACAACUAUAGACAAACAGAAUAACAUCUAAUAUUUUAAGAUGGAAAUUAAGAUCUGGUGUUAGUAGAAUGUGGUUUGCAGGAGGAAAGGAUGACAAAAAAAACCAAAAACAAACCAAGAGAUAUGUUUUUGGG